rnacentral:rRNA from 1 species
UACGAAGGGGGCUAGCGUUGCUCGGAAUCACUGGGCGUAAAGGGUGCGUAGGCGGUUCGCUAAGUCGGAUGUGAAAACUCUGGGCUCAACCCAGAGCCUGCAUCCAAAACUGGCGGGCUAGAGUUCUGGAGGGGGUAGCGGAAUUCCUGGUGUAGCGGUGAAAUGCGUAGAUAUCAGGAGGAACACCGGUGGCGAAGGCGGCUACCUGGACAAUUGCUGACGCUCAGGCACGAAAGCGUGGGGAGCAAAAGGG